AGGAGCAGAGAGAGAAGGAGAGAGAGAAUCACCGACUGUGAGACCAUGAUGUAAGCCAAAACCAAGAGUCGGACGCCUAACCGACUGAGCCAGCCCAGUGCCCCACGUCUCCAUUCUAUAUGGGGCUCGAACGCCCUGCAGAAGGGUUCGGUCCUAAGAAACAAAAUGGCCCAAUGAUAUCAUUGUUGAAUGGUGAACAUAUUUGUGUGGAAAAUUUUGCUGCCACUGGAAAAGUUUAUUUUCAUCUUACACCAGUUUAGAAGUUGUCGGGAGAUAGUAAUAAACCAGAUGCCAUCUUCAAAUAAUCUUUUCCCCUGUUUGAUGACUCCCAGAGUUCUUUCAAAGUAACUUUUUGGGGGUUUGGGGUGGAGAAUGGUGGUCAGAAACUUGAAGUUUUCACUGAUAGCCAGUUGUAGUUUUAUUCCUCAAAAGAGCACUUCAGUCUUAUCUUUAUCCUUGUUGCUUUGUCGCCAAUAGAGAUUCAAUUCAGUUUCCGUAUUACUCUCAAAGAUAUUCCAUUUAUAUCCUGCUUGCAAGAAAAUGUUUUCACUGGGGUAAGAGUCUUCCCAUAGAAAUUGUCCUGCUCCAACGUCUUCUAAAGGAAUGUAGCUUUGUUCUAUUUGAAAAUUAAUGCAGCAUGGAAUUCUCUGAGUACCUCUUAGGAAAAUGCAGGAUGUCAAUCGCAGAUUAUUUAAGUAUUUCCCAAAAAGGUUUUACCAACAAAAGUAUCUAUAGGUCAGUAAUCAAGACUGGAGCCCUUACUGACAGAGUAUUAGUUAUUGAUGCUAUCCUUAUGCAUUCAUGCAAAAACCAUUCUUUGAGCACAGGUUAUCUGCAGGGGGUUUCGCUAGGCAUGAAGGAUAAGUGACAGAUGUUUAUUAUCCCCGUCCUUGGGAUGCUUAUGGUCUAAUGGGAGCUGCGAUAAACAAAUGAAUAAAUGAUUGCAAAUGGUGAUUUGUGCAUGAAAGAAAAUAAGGGCUACGGCAGAGAAUAGGGUGACCAGCGAAGGUCUUUCUGAGGCGGUGACAUUUUGACUGAGUCACAACUCAAAGACAACACCGGGCAAUAGAGGAAAGUGAUCUAGGCAGAGGGAAAAGUGGGUGCCAAGGCCCCGGGGCAGAAAAGAGUUUUGUGUAUUCCAAGAACUUAGGGAUGGCCUUUGUGCCUGGGACAAAGUGAGAGACAGGAGACAAACACGGAUGAGGUCAUAAAGUCAAGAGGGGCUAGAAGAGGCAGUACCUGGGGGACUGGGAGAAGACAUUGACCUUUAUCUAUAGGGCAAUGCAACAUCAUUGAAAGAUUUUAAGUAGCGAAGCAGCUUAAAUAAUUUGCCUUUCAAAGAACACUCUGUGGAAAAUUUCUGUUGUGAGAAGAAGAGAGAAAGCAAGAGAGAAAGUAGUGGGACCAGUUAGGAGACCGCUUGGUCAACCACAGGAAACAUGACGGUAGCUUUGACCCAGAUGGUUGUGGUGGAGGCCGCAGGGAGACAGGCUCAUACCAGAUGUAUCUGAAGGAAAGCAAAUAGAACUUACUAUUGGGUUAGAUAGAGGAGAACAGGAAUGCAAGGGGCCAAGGAUGGUCCCCAGUAACCCGGGCACAUUGCUAAUCAGGUGCGUGACGGCGGAGGAGUAGGAGAGGGCCAGAAGAGACUGACAGACGGGCUGGUGCAAUAGGACAAACAAGGACAGUGGAGUGUCUUCCAUGACGAGGCAACGGAGCUUCAAGAUGGAAAAGGUGGUCAAGUGUGUCUGACAAAGCGACGUAAAGACCCAAGAGCCUAUUAGACUGGCCAAUAUGGAGGUUGUCGGUAACCUGGCCACACGGUUUCAGAACAAAGAGGCUGGUGAGGAAGCAGGUAGAGCGUGUGUAAGCGUCUCUUUUGAAAGCUUGUCCUUUUUGCCAGGCAGGGGAGCCCAGGACGGAGCUCGGGACCACUGGGCAAGAGGACAGUCAUUUCUCUCAGUUAACCACCCUCAACCCUUUAGCCCAGACACCUUUCCCAGAGAGUAAGAGACUCCUUCCCCACCUCUUUACCUUCAUCCCCAUCAUCCUCAUAAUUACCCUGGCGAGGGCAGGCGUGUCAAAGAACCAUUUGCUUUUGACCUCUUAGGUGGACGUCUGCCCAGUUUUUGGCUCCGGGACCCUUCUCCCCUCCUGUCAAUGAGCCCCAGGCCUCCCUCCACACCAUUCUCACGUCGGCCAGCUCAAGGUGAGCUUCUGACUCAUACACACUUUCCUCUUAAAUUUUCUCGGCUUUCUCACUUAGCCAACGAUGAGGUAGGACAUGAAAAUGUCUAAGAAAUGUCGGAGGGCAGGAAAUUAAGGAGGACUUGUAAGGACGCAGUUGUUCUCACGUUUUUGUUUUUCAAAUUGCAUUUUGUUAAACUAACCACGCUAGGGGAAAUUGCCAAUGGAGGAAUAUUGAUUUUUCAAAGCGACACACGCUUUAGGAGGAUUUGACAUGGCUUUUACUGAAAUUGCAGAAUGGCUUUACUCUGUACGUGCCCUCUGUGAUGGCCUACGGGGAAGGAUGUGUGAUAUGUGUAAGAAAAGGAGUAGAAGGAAUUUCAUUAAGGGUAGGAUGCUAGAACGUGAAGGUUCCAGCUCUUAUGUAAUUGAGGAAGGGUAGAAGUUGCAUUUCAGGGAAUAAAGGAAAUCAGAUGCCACAAAUUUAACUGAUUCUCAUCACCAGCCAGUUAAACUCUCUUUUGCAGAUCAGACAUCUUUCCUCUAUUUGCAGCAAAGCUUCAAAGCUGCAGGCUGGGCAUCAGGCCAUCAGAGUCACUCAGACCACAAUGAUGACAUUUCCCGGAGUCCAGCAUCCAGCCGUCCUCCCUCUCUCCCCUCAUCGUCCUCUGUCCUGUCACCAAAACAGAAAAAGAUGGGAAAGGAGAAUAUUGUUUCCUUCCUGCCUCAAAGCUCCCUGGGCCUCCUAAGAAUACAAUAUAACCCCCAACUUUCCCCAAAUCUCCACAUCCUAACAUUUCCAGGAAGUUAUAAGCCAUGGGAGUCCGGGCAGACCCAGAAGAACAUGUGUCUUUUUCUCUAAAAGCCCUUGUGGAAAGUCCCCACUAUUCUGUGGGGGAGAAACAGUGUCUGCUUUGUUCAUUCUGUUUCUAACGCCUAGUACAGUGCCCGGUCCAGGAUCAACAAUAGUGUUUCUUUAAUGAAUAAACAGGCGAAGGAGUGAAGCUUUCCAAGUGGAUACAUUCAAAUGCUAAA